CCUACGGGAGGCAGCAGUGGGGAAUAUUGGGCAAUGGGCGCAAGCCUGACCCAGCAACGCCGCGUGAAGGAAGAAGGCUUUCGGGUUGUAAACUUCUUUUGUCAGGGACGAAGCAAGUGACGGUACCUGACGAAUAAGCCACGGCUAACUACGUGCCAGCAGCCGCGGUAAUACGUAGGUGGCAAGCGUUAUCCGGAUUUACUGGGUGUAAAGGGCGUGUAGGCGGGGAAGCAAGUCAGAUGUGAAAACCACGGGCUCAACCUGUGGCCUGCAUUUGAAACUGUUUUUCUUGAGUGCUGGAGAGGCAAUCGGAAUUCCGUGUGUAGCGGUGAAAUGCGUAGAUAUACGGAGGAACACCAGUGGCGAAGGCGGAUUGCUGGACAGUAACUGACGCUGAGGCGCGAAAGCGUGGGGAGCAAACAGGAUUAGAUACCCCAG
rnacentral:rRNA from 1 species